rnacentral:rRNA from 1 species
AUGAAACUGUCGUGGAGCAAGGACCUCGAGGUUGACGAGCAUGAGUUCGUCAUCCCGGAGGCCAGCCGUCGCUACCGCGUCACCGAGGUCUUCGUCGUCGACCCAAUGAGCGCUGGCGACGAGGACGUGACCGUCUCCAUCGAGGCCGGCGACCACGAGCUCGUGCUUGGGCCGAUGUCCGCGUAUAGUCCGGACGCCGACCUGCGCUCCGUACUGGCACUGGACGAGGCGUUUUGGCUGGACCGGUGCGACGACUCCGCCAAGAAAACGGUCGUUCGGUUUGAAGGCUACGUUCUCACGGAACCGGACGACGAGGAUCCGAUGCCGGCCGAGUCCAUUGACGAGCUUGUCCAGCUCCACGGCGAGACUUCGGAGUCCGAGGAUGACGACGGGUGCUUCGACGACGACAGCGAGCUCAAUGUGUCGCUCGACAUCCAUGGACAAGAUGCCAGGACGAGCAGCAGCCCACUGGUCCUGCCAGAGGUGGCGGCGAAGCGUGGCACCACCACUGGCCGUUCUCCCACAAACCAAGGAGUGGGCGUCGUUUCUCCGCCGGCUACGGAGAGGAGCUUUUCUCGGCGACCUUACUUCUAUCGUUGA